rnacentral:rRNA from 1 species
CGUGGAGACAGGUGGUGCAUGGCUGUCGUCAGCUCGUGUCGUGAGAUGUUGGGUUAAGUCCCGCAACGAGCGUAACCCUUAUCCUUAGUUGCCAUCAAUUCAGUUGGGCACUUUAAGGAGACUGCCGGUGUCAAACUGGAGGAAGGUGGGGAUGACGUCAAGUCCUCAUGGCCCUUAUGCCCAGGGCUACACACGUGCUACAAUGGGCGGCACAAAGGGAAGCGACGCCGCGAGGUGUAGCAAAUCCCAAAAAACCGUUCUCAGUUCGGAUCGGAGUCUGCAACUCGACUCCGUGAAGUUGGAAUCGCUAGUAAUCGUGGAUCAGCAUGCCACGGUGAAUACGUUCCCGGGCCUUGUACACACCGCCCGUCACACCACGAAAGUCUGCUGUACUCGAAGUCGCUGAG